rnacentral:rRNA from 1 species
UCUUGGUCUUAAAUUGAAUAUAUCUACCAGAGUACUAUGAAUAAAACAAAAUUUAAAACUCAAAGAGCUUGGCGGUGUUUUAGACCACUCAGGGGAACCUGUCUCAUAAUCGAUAAUCCACGAUAUACCUGACCUUUUUUUGUAAAACAACUUGUAUACCGUUGUCGUCAGGUAACUUUUUAGAAAUCAGAAGUUAGCUAUAAGCUUUUAAGCUUAAACGUCAAAUCAAGGUGCAGUCUAUAAAAAGGAGAGGAUGGGUUACAAUUAUAAAUUUAUAAUAACGGAAAACUAUUAAAAUUAAUAGAUGGAAGGAGGACUUGAAAGUAAAUUGAACUAUAAAAAUAUUUUGAAUGAGGCUCUGAAACGUGC